UUUUAUUUAUUUAUUUAUUUAUUUUUAUAGAUUAAAAAAAGCUAAACUUAUAGCAAUCCAAGAGUUGAAAACUCCUGGACUGGACUUGGGAGCAGGAUUUGGAUAUACAGUUGUGGAAAUUGAUCCCUGUUUCCUGUUACAGUAGUGUAUUUAUCAACAGCCCACUUGAGAGGACUAAGACACGUGAUGCAUGAGACUAUUUCUGUGUAUGUUCCAAAGGCUGAACAUGGGCCUAACAACUGGAAUUGAUGAAACUCCACAUGCUAUGAUGCUGGGCAUACUGUCACUGCAUCAUCAGGUGUGAAAGAGGAAGCCAUGCAAGAGAUCCCCGAUGUGUGUUCCUAAUGUCUGUAUUUAUUAAGAUUUGCUCUAAACAUGUGCUACACUUUACAAGUAUGUAGAUAAUAAUACUCUAAUCCCAUUGGGCUUACACUCUCUUUAUUAAAAAAGGGAAAUGAAUUCAAGUGUGUGUGGGUGGGGAGGAGGCAGACAAAAAUCUAAGCCAAACUUCCAGAAGAUAUUGGAGGUGAAGACAUUGCUGUAGUGUUAAAUCUCAUUAAUUCCAUUCAGUGAGGAGAAUAUGUUUAAAAACUUUAGAAGUCUUUUUAGGAAAUCUUGUGAUGUAAGGAUGCUUGCUUUGCUAGGUUAGGGGGAAAAAAAUAUAGAUCUGUUCUAUUUUCAAAGAUUUACAAGUGCCACUGCGAUGACACUUAUUAGCAAUGCAUUAAGUCUGAAUAUGAGAACGUUGGUUGACCUUUUAUAGAAAAGGUUCACCCAUGUCAUUCCCAAGGUACCCCAGCUGACAGUUUGAGACAGCUGGUUAGAAAAUGAAUGCAAAGACUGACAAAAUUGACAGAUGAUAAAUACCUAAUUGUUCUGUCAGUCCCACUGUAUAGUACAGACUUCUUUUCCUGAAUUAUGGCCUGACUGUAGAAGGCUGGGUCUCAUAUUUAUUGCUGGAUUGUUCUUUUCAAUAACAAAGACUAAUUUUAACUUCUAGCUUCAGUCACACUAUUCAUCAAUAUUUUGGCAAAAUGAACAAUGUGUGAACUAUGUAUUUGAUAUACUACACUGAUAUCUGAAGAGAAAAUAGUUAUAUCAAAGUAUGAUAGCCUUAAUACUAUUUCAUCUCUUGCUGUUGUUGACUCAUCUGAAUCACAAAUCAUAAGAUGGUCUAUCUUUAAAAUAUUAAACCAACCUUCAAUAAUCAUUCUACAUUGUCAUGUAUUUGAAAAAUCUGCAAGUGAUUUUUGGGAACUGUUUUUAAACAUGCAUUGUGUACUAUAUAAAGGAGAAGCAGAUACUAUUUAGAAAAAAUAAGGGAGGAAAAAUACGAAUUCUCGCAAAUGCGGGGGGGAAGGAUAUACAAGAUAUGUGACAAGAAGUGAGAUGUUUUAGACACUCUUACUAGGACUUCUUUCUCAGUGGGGUGCAUAAAGACAUUAAAGCAAAGUCUGUAUUAUCUGUCAGUACUGAUGCACAAUAAAUUCCCUGGGGCGCCUUUCAAGGAGAGAUGAUGCUUGCUUUAUGUAGCCAACUGUGCCUCUUUCAACUGAAAUGAUUUUGGUUAUUCAAUUGCUUGUGAGCCAAUUGGUAAUCUUACAAUAGCUAUUUCACUUAGUUAAAUAUUAAUAAUGUAGUAAAGUACUUCAUAAUGUCCAUGAUUCAAUAGCUUUCUUAAAUGCAGAGUGCUUCUGUAGUGUUUUCUGCAAUGUUGAUUUUUGAGUUCCAAAUACUAUUUUUGUCAUUAUCUUCAGGAUUUUCUGUGAAUAGCUACAGAUCUUAGCCUUUGUGCCAGUUACUAUUGAAUUAUUUUCUUAAUACAGACUAAGGCUUCAUCUGAACAGGGCAAUUUUUCUUGGCCUAAAUAAUCUGAAGUCAUAGCAGAUGUGUAGAUUCUGCAGACACUAACCUGUUAUUCAUAAGUUUUUGUUCCAAUUGUUCAAGAAUAAUGUACUAUCUUGGCUGGCUAGAACUGAGCUGGACAAAAGACAAAUGUCAAAUUCUCUCAAUAUUCAAGUCAUUCUUUCUAUUAGUAAUUUAAUAGCUUGCUACAGUGUAUUAAAUGGCGACUCAAUCAUUUUAGCCCACUGGUUGUGGUAUGGAUUUAGUCUGGUCAUGUCAAUAAACAUAGUUUAUUACAUCAAAUCAGAACAUCAAUUGCAAUUUUACUUAGAGAACAAAAUAUCUCUAUAAAUGAAGUUUAAAAAAGCCAUUUUGUUCCAUUUACAUACUAAAUCUAGAUGCAUCUCACGUAUAACUAUUAAAUGAAACUGCAAGCAAUCAUCUAGCUCUCAAGAAACUAAAUUCAUGGUAUAAAAUGCAAUAUUGUCUUAUGUUGUGCCUACAUCACCACUAUUCAUUCAGUAUCAGUGAAGCAUGAGAGAAGACUUUUUGUUCAAUUAAUAUAUUGCUUUAUUCAUUAGUAGUAUUCGCUAAAAAUGCGACUCCAUCCUUCAGACAGUAUUUUUAACUGAUAUCUGCCUUUCAUACUUGAUUGCCUUGCAUGUACAUAUAUUCUAUACAUCUGUGCUUUUUAUGGGUUUUAUUACUACUGUAUUUGCGUCACCUAAUUUAAAACAGACUUUCUACUGUUUUCAACUAUAAUGGGUUUGUGGCUUAGUAUGUGAAAUAGAAUUGACUGCACAAAAUGUGAAAUUCUGAUGCUAGACAUUCCAGCUAGGUUUUUACAGACAGGAAUGUGCAUUUGUCUGGGCAAGCAUCGUAGUCCUAGAGGUGCUUAACUCUUCUAGUGACAGCCUGAAUGUAAUAAAGUCAUAUGAUUCUUUU